rnacentral:lncRNA from 1 species
GAUAUUGUUCUAUUAAUUAAUAUACUUUUUUGGACUCUGAAUAGUCAGAAUUCUAAGUAUGGCGUUGUUAAAAGAAAGUCAUAAAUUCAGUUUGAGACCAUUUCUGUGGAAAAUAAUGAUAGUAAAAGGAAGGCAAUCUAGAAGAAACCAAAAGUGUUCAUAAAAAAGUGGAAACCAAAUGCUUGAUUAUAUUUAUUUACUUAUUUU